AGCUAGGAUAGCUCAGCUGGUAGAGCAUGAGACUCUUAAUCUUAGUGUCAUGGUUUCGAGCCCCAUGUUGGGUG